UAUGAAGGGGGCUAGCGUUGCUCGGAAUGACUGGGCGUAAAGGGCGCGUAGGCGGCUUGCACCGUCAGAUGUGAAAUUCCUGGGCUUAACCUGGGGGCUGCAUUUGAUACGUGUGGGCUUGAGUGCGGAAGAGGGUCGUGGAAUUCCCAGUGUAGAGGUGAAAUUCGUAGAUAUUGGGAAGAACACCGGUGGCGAAGGCGGCGACCUGGUCCGUGACUGACGCUGAGGCGCGAAAGCGCGGGGAGCAAACAGG
rnacentral:rRNA from 1 species